GUCGGAGGCGGCAAAGGGGUGAAGGCGGAGGAGGUAGUGCCUGGGAACAGGCAACCUGUGUCUGGCGCGGUGCCCUGCAGCUGGUGGCGGGUGGGGCCGGCGGGCGGGCUGCCGCUUUCCCGUGUCGACGGAGGCUGCUGACGGGAAAACGAUCCGGGAGGGAGCGCCUCGGCCCAGGUCCCUUCCCCUGAAAACCUGCGGGAUUUCAGGGCCGAGUAAGCCAAGCAGAAGAUCUGGGCAGUGUUAACAAACGGACGUUGAGAUUCGCAGAGAUCAGCCUUCGAGGCCUCUGUCUGCCCGCCACCGGCUCUGUGACCUCUGGCGUGGCACAGCCUGGCCUCAGUUUCCCCACCCUUCUAGAGGGCUUGCGGCUUGCGAGUGGCCCCGAAGAAAAGAGUUAACGUCACAAAUACUACCAGCCUAGUAGCAAGGUGCAGGUCCCCUAGGGAAAGUGCAGGAGCGGGAGCCUUACCGUGUGCUGCGGGGCCCGUGACAGUCUGCUUGGCGGUCACUUACCGAGAAGAAUGGAUGGCUGGCUACUGUAUAAACCCUCCCCCGUAUCUGUUCAAGUAGUUCUCAGUUAUCAUUAAUCAGGCUGUCAGUUCCUUGAAGAAGGAGAACUGGUUCUAUUCACCUUUGUAACCCCAGUACCUAGGGCUGCACCUGGCAAAUAGGUGUUUCCUAAAUGCUGGUUCGAAGAACAAAUGACCCAGAGCACAGUACCAUUCCUCGAGCAUGCCAUGCGUUUUCAUGCCUUUGCUCAUGCUGAUUCCUUUCCUGGGAUGCCCCCUGCUGCAUUUCUCAGCUAGCUCAGAAGUCACCUGCUCGUAGGACUGUAGAAGCUAAACUCUUCCGACCCUCUAGGGCCUCACACGGGACUGCCUGCCUACUUCUCUGUGCUCCUUUGUUCACAAAUGAAAUUCACUCCAUUCCUCGGGCCAUGGAACUUUUCCUACUGUAUCCUAACAUUAGAGGUCUGCUUCUUUCUGGAUCAAUUACAGUAUCCUAGAGGGCAGGUGUUACCAAAGGCCUCUUCUGUGGUUCCGACACAGUGUAAGGACCACAGACAUUCAAGUAAGGUUUAAUAUUCCAUUCUUCCAACUGCGGGGAAUUAUUCUAUUCUUUGUUCUUCCUUCCUUCCUUACGCAGUUAAUGUUAACAAGGUGAUAACCCUCUCGCGUGAAAAAUGCCAUACGCUAUUGCACGCUAAUAUGACAUAAAUUUCAAGCACUAUUUCUUUUCCUACCAACUACAAAUAAGGGUCACUGUCCUAUAGGAAGCCAGUCACAUUUUCAAGAAAGUGAACCCUUCUCUCAAUAUAAAGAAAACAUGCAAAAAAAAUUUAAGUUCUUACAUUAGUUCUCCGCCUUGGAAUCAGAAUGUAAGAGAAUCACAUUUAGUAUUCAGAAUCUCUUGGGAGGGGAAACUUCAAGAUGAGAAGCAUCAUUAAGUAACACUUAGAACAGCAAUUUUAAUUAACUGUUCUUGGCAGUAAUAGAAAAACCACUAACCAGCAUUUUACUAAUAUCCUUGAUAAGAACUUUUUCUCCUCAAACUGGUAUUUUAAGAAAACAACCACCAACGAGGUCAAUAACAGUAAAGAUUAAAUCCCAAGACAUUCAGCUGUCUUUGCUCCAUUAUGCUGGUUUUUGGACCAGAAGAUCUGCAAAAAUAUCUAAGCGAUGAAGCAAUUUUUGUAUUUUCCAGCACUUUUACCAGUGAAUGGUAUUCUUUCAUAGCUGUUUUAAAAAAUAUCUAUCCCAGAGUUUCUUGUUUAUUAAUCAUUCAUGGAGAUUUUAUUUUUUAAUUCAGACUUUUUUUCCCUUUGGAGGGCAGGAAUUCUCACAAUUACUGUUUAAGAGCCAGCAGUUCUCUGACCUGUCUGCAUGGGUUUUUAUGCAGAACAAUUUAAGAAAUCUUUAGGACUGGUACACACCAAAUUUAAUAAAAUUCAAACCUUUUCAACAAGUUGAUUCUCAAACAAAUGCUUUACAGUUUUGUUACAAAGUCAAAAGAAAAUGUUGACUAAUUGCUUCUGAAAAAAGCAAAUUUUCCCCAGCAAAAGCAACAAUGCUGAAUUUUUCCUGUGAUUCUGGUCACCUUAAAACCUAAGCAGAUCAAUGCUGGUAAAGGCACUUGAGAAUAUAGUACUGGUUUCCUCCGAUUUCUUCUUAGCCUAUAACAUCUUACAAGAAAAAAUGGUUCAAUUUCAAAUUCGUUCAUAGGGGAAAGGUUUUCUGAAGGGUGGUUCCAACUGCUAACUUUAAAACAAAAAUGUAAACAGAGCUGAAACCAAGCAGUUUAAACCACAAUGGUUUUGAUGUCACUUAAUGAACCUUAGUCCAUAUGUAAUCAAGUUUUACAUAGUUUGUUCAAGCCCAAAUUUUGGCUUCAUAGAUUCUAAUGCCAAGUCUCUGAUCAGUGGUGGAACAUGGCAAUGAAUGUAUCACUCCUUAACGUUUAAGUGUGUGAUGCGACUUCUGAAACUCUUUAACGUUCUUAAAAAAAUGAGUGAGAAUUUAAACCGUCAACCAUGAAAGGCAAACAGGGUACAGUGACAAAACAAAACAAGGGAAGAUAAAAACACAACACACACACACACACACACACAAAAUCAAACCCAGACUGCAGGACCAGGAGUUCCAGCCUGACAUUUUCAGGUAAAGUUGGACAAAUUUUCUAAGAGCCUGCCGUGGACCUGAAUGUCCUCACGAAAUAAAAUGAGGGAAUUGGGUGCAGUGCCAUCUGUGGUCUUGGCU